rnacentral:tRNA from 84 species
GCGUCCAUAGCUCAGUUGGAUAGAGCAACUGCCUUCUAAGCAGUGGGUCACUGGUUCGAAUCCAGUUGGACGUGCCA